GAUGUUGGAUUAGGAUUCUUUUUUAAUGAAGAAGUUAAAAUAAGAAGUUUGUUCAACUUUUAAAUUCCUACAUGAUCUGAGUUUAGACCGAUGAGAAUCAGGUUGGUUUCUAUCUUAAUUUUUAAUUAAAAAAUAUGUUAGUACGAAAGGAAUUCAUAUUUUAAAAUUUUUAAUAAAUAUUGAAACACUCUUUUUUGCAUCAAUUUUUGGAAUU
rnacentral:rRNA from 1 species